AUUGAACGCUGGCGGCAGGCCUAACACAUGCAAGUCGAACGAGUGGCGGACGGGUGAGUAAUGUCUGGGCAACUGCCCGAUGGAGGGGGAUAACUACUGGAAACGGUAGCUAAUACCGCAUACCAUCGGAUGUGCCCAGAUGGGCUUAGCUAGUAGGGGGGGUAACGGCUCACCUAGGCGACGAUCCCUAGCUGGUCUGAGAGGCUGACCAGCCACACUGGAACUGGGACACGGUCCGGACACCUACGGGAGGCAGCAGUGGGGAAUAUUGCACAAUGGGCGCAAGCCUGAUGCAGCCAUGCCGCGUGUAUGAAGAAGGCCUUCGGGUUGUAAGGUACUUUCAGCGGGGAGGCGGUACCCGCAGAAGAAGCACCGGCUAACUCCGUGCCAGCAGCCGCGGUAAUUC
rnacentral:rRNA from 1 species